rnacentral:rRNA from 1 species
CCUACGGGGGGCAGCAGUGGGGAAUAUUGGACAAUGGGGGCAACCCUGAUCCAGCCAUGCCGCGUGUGUGAAGAAGGCCCUCGGGUUGUAAAGCACUUUCAGUGAGGAAGAACGCCUGGUGGUUAAUACCCAUCAGGAAAGACAUCACUCACAGAAGAAGCACCGGCUAACUCCGUGCCAGCAGCCGCGGUAAUACGGAGGGUGCGAGCGUUAAUCGGAAUUACUGGGCGUAAAGCGCGCGUAGGUGGCUUGAUAAGCCGGUUGUGAAAGCCCCGGGCUCAACCUGGGAACGGCAUCCGGAACUGUCAAGCUAGAGUGCAGGAGAGGAAGGUAGAAUUCCCGGUGUAGCGGUGAAAUGCGUAGAGAUCGGGAGGAAUACCAGUGGCGAAGGCGGCCUUCUGGACUGACACUGACACUGAGGUGCGAAAGCGUGGGUAGCAAACAGGAUUAUAUACCCCUGUAGUC